GGGAGUGUAACAUAGAAAGGUGUGGAGGGAAUUCUCUGUGUCUGUGCCUCUAAGUGUGAUGACAGCAUGUGGAAGGAGAUUCAUUUUGUGUCUAAUCCAGGGAUUCUGAAAUGGGACGGACUUGACGGAGAUUCACUCUGCGUCUGAGCUGGGGUGCGUGUGAUGGGACAGUGUGGAGGGAGCUUCACUCUCGCUCAGAUCCGGGGAGUGUGAGGUCUGAGCUCAGUGAUCACCGAGCUCCUGGCAAGCUGGGACGAUUUCCAGCUGCUGCAGUUGACGGACUUCUACCGGGACAGGCUGGAUAAAGCGAUGGAAGGAGCGGUGCACGGAGUGAGCCUGGCGUUAACGGCCGAGAAUCAGAUCAGUGGAGAGGAACAUCGGACGGUUCCGAAACAUCUCUGCUGACAGGAGACAGUUCAUGAAAAAUGGCUAUGUCUCCUGCGUCUGGAUCUCCUCUGCGUUGAGUACGUUCAAUCAAAUAUCUUCGUUCACUGUCACUCGAUUUUGUGUCACGAUCAUCUCCUCUAUCCGUGAAACAUUCCAGCAGAGUUUCCAAGCAUGAAAUUAUGACACCCAUGUCAGUUGCUUUUCUCUCUGCAAAAUGCAAACCCAGGUUAAAGAGUUAUGAAACACGGGAUUGACAGAAGUUAGAAACUGCCAGCAACAGU